CGUGUUAGAACGCUGAGCUACGACCUUCUACGUGUUAGAACGCUGAGCUACGACCUUCUACGUGUUAGAACGCUGAGCUACGACCUUCUACGUGUUAGAACGCUGAGCUACGACCUUCUACGUGUUAGAACGCUGAGCUACGACCUUCUACGUGUUAGAACGCUGAGCUACGACCUUCUAUGUGUUAGAACGCUGAGCUACGACCUUCUACAUAGUUUAAAGGAAGUGUACUCUGCACAUCCAAACUACCUCAGGCGUUUUGGUUAGGUCAGUUGUAGUAGGCGUUUUGGUUAGGUCAGUUGUAGUAGGCGUUUUGGUUAGGUCAGUUGUAGUAGGCGUUUUGGUUAGGUCGGUUGUAGUGGGCGUUUUGGUUAGGUCGGUUGUAGUGGGCGUUUUGGUUAGGUCGGUUGUAGUGGGCGUUUUGGUUAGGUCGGUUGUAGUGGGCGUUUUGGUUAGGUCGGUUGUAGUGGGCGUUUUGGUUAGGUCGGUUGUAGUGGCCGUUUUGGUUAGGUCGGUUGUAGUGGGCGUUUUGGUUAGGUCGGUUGUAGUGGCCGUUUUGGUUAGGUCGGUUGUAGUGGCCGUUUUGGUUAGGUCGGUUGUAGUGGCCGUUUUGGUUAGGUCGGUUGUAGUGGCCGUUUUGGUUAGGUCGGUUGUAGUGGCCGUUUUGGUUAGGUCGGUUGUAGUGGCCGUUUUGGUUAGGUCGGUUGUAGUGGCCGUUUUGGUUAGGUCGGUUGUAGUGGCCGUUUUGGUUAGGUCGGUUGUAGUGGCCGUUUUGGUUAGGUCGGUUGUAGUGGCCGUUUUGGUUAGGUCGGUUGUAGUGGCCGUUUUGGUUAGGUCGGUUGUAGUGGCCGUUUUGGUUAGGUCGGUUGUAGUGGCCGUUUUGGUUAGGUCGGUUGUAGUGGCCGUUUUGGUUAGGUCGUAUUUUGGUUAGGUCAGUUGUUGUCGGUGUUUUAGUUAGUUAGGUCAGUUGUAGUAGGUGAACGGUGUCGGUUAAUGUUUAGUCUCU